rnacentral:rRNA from 1 species
CAGAACGAACGUUAGCGGCGCGCCUAAGGCAUGCAAGUCGAGCGAGAAAGGGCUUCGGCCCCAAUAAAGCGGCGCACGGGUGAGUAACACGUAGGUCAUCAACCCUCGAGUGGUGGACAACCCUCCGAAAGGAGGGCUAAUACAGCAUGACGCCAGCAAUGGCCAAAGCGGGCCUCUCCAUGGAAGCUCGCGCUUGAGGAUGAGCCUGCGGCCCAUCAGCUAGUUGGUGGGGUAAUGGCCCACCAGGCUAAGACGGUAGCUGGUCUGAGA